GUUUGCCCGCCCAGUUUACCCACCCACUUUCAUUUAUAUAGCUCUACCUGUCUCAUUCUCCCCGCAGAUUAUCAACAGGACGCUUUCUGACAGAUUCAGAUCUCGUAUCACGACAUCACACCAUUAUGCUCUGCUCCUGUCCUGAGGUCCUGUAUGCCACAUAACAUAAUGGCUAAAUCGCAAGUGACCAAGCCUGCCCAAAGGACAAACAGCAUCAAGAUAAAAAUUAAUUUUCAGAAACUGUGCCUUCAACGAGCAGUUCCUUCUGACUUCCAUGCUGUCCAUUCAAAUGAUCAGGCAGAGACCUCACUUCAAUGCUCUGUUAAAAAAAGGCCAUGAUUUCCAGAUUAUGAUGGAGGAGCAGACAUCUGUCACAGAGUCCAGUGGGCAUGAGCCUCCCUAAUAGGAGAUGUUCAUGUGACAAACCAGAUGACAGGGUUAUUGUUGUUAAAAAUGUCCACACUUGAGUCUUGAUGCUCCAAUAACUGAUCCCUGUUGUUUGUUUUUGCCUUUACAUUUCAUGGUUUUGUUUUCAUGUUUCAGUAUUAUUAUCUUGUAUUUAUGUUUGUAUUACUUUAACCAUAUACAUUUCUUAUUAUUGUACAGCAAGUUCAGUUCUUAAAUGGGGGGUUUCUUCAGAACAAUAAAUGUAUUGUAUAAUUAUAA